UGGGGAAUAUUGGACAAUGGGCGAAAGCCUGAUCCAGCCAUGCCGCGUGUGUGAAGAAGGUCUUCGGAUUGUAAAGCACUUUAAGUUGGGAGGAAGGGCAUUAACCUAAUACGUUAGUGUUUUGACGUUACCGACAGAAUAAGCACCGGCUAACUCUGUGCCAGCAGCCGCGGUAAUACAGAGGGUGCAAGCGUUAAUCCGAAUUACUGGGCGUAAAGCGCGCGUAGGUGGUUUGUUAAGUUGGAUGUGAAAUCCCCGGGCUCAACCUGGGAACUGCAUUCAAAACUGACUGACUAGAGUAUGGUAGAGGGUGGUGGAAUUUCCUGUGUAGCGGUGAAAUGCGUAGAUAUAGGAAGGAACACCAGUGGCGAAGGCGACCACCUGGACUAAUACUGACACUGAGGUGCGAAAGCGUGGGGAGCAAACA
rnacentral:rRNA from 1 species